GACGAACGCUGGCGGCGUGCCUAACACAUGCAAGUCGAGCGAAUGAAGUUCCUUCGGGAAUGGAUUUAGCGGCGGACGGGUGAGUAACACGUGGGCAACCUGCCUCAUAGAGGGGAAUAGCCUUCCGAAAGGGAGAUUAAUACCGCAUAAGAUUGUAGUAUCGCAUGAUACAGCAAUUAAAGGAGCAAUCCGCUAUGAGAUGGGCCCGCGGCGCAUUAGCUAGUUGGUGAGGUAACGGCUCACCAAGGCGACGAUGCGUAGCCGACCUGAGAGGGUGGUCGGCCACAUUGGGACUGAGACACGGCCCAGACUCCUACGGGAGGCAGCAGUGGGGAAUAUUGCACAAUGGGGGAAACCCUGAUGCAGCAACGCCGCGUGAGUGAUGACGGCCUUCGGGUUGUAAGGCUCUGUCUUCAGGGACGAUAAUGACGGUACCUGAGGAGGAAGCCACGGCUAACUACGUG
rnacentral:rRNA from 1 species